UUUUUACCCAGGCGCCCCCGCGCCGACUCACCUGAGGCCAGCCAGGAGCACUCAUGGGAUGAUGACAAGGACGGGCUAUCAGUCCUUUUUCCCUUUACCACCGCAGAG